rnacentral:lncRNA from 1 species
AUGGAGGCGAACAGCGCUUUCAGAGUGUUUUGGAAAGCAAGGCAAUUGUGCACGAGAAAACCAACAGCUGAUUCAGAGUGUGAAGUCCCAGUGACAUGGAAAAGAAAGCAUUUUAAAAGGAAGAAGAAGAGGCCACCAAAAGAAGUCUCUGAGCAACACUCUCUAGUGCAGGACUACAGCGAGACGCUCACAUUGCCCUGCUCCAUUUGCAAGCAUGAGGUUGACCUGCCUGGAGUUUUCUUCCACAAGAAGGAGCACGUGGCUCUGAGCACACUGGGCUUGCAGUGGACGGGCGGCAAGAAACCAGGGCUCUCAGCAAUCAUAGGCCUGAGACAGUCUGCCAUUACUAAGCUGCUGUCAUCUUUUGCAUUCAACGAGAAAGCCUUGCAGAGCAUUAAUAAUGCUUUUGAGCUACUGUGGAAGAGACAGAUACCAGCAUACUACAAGAUUAUGCAGAACAUUUGUGAGAGCUCCAUAUAUCCUCAAAAAAUCGAUCACCUAUUAGUUAAAGGAGCGGCUGUUUGCGAAGACAGGAAUUCUACAUGGAGAGUUGACAUGAAUGAUAAAUUCAUUGUCGUGAAUAAUUUUGGCAGGAAACCCAAUGUGUGUUUUUUUGGUUUGUUUGAUGGACAUCACGGGGCCUCAGCGGCCGACUUGACCUCAAUGGAACUCCCGGUUUUACUUCUCCAUCAACUUUCCAGACUUGAUCCUUCCUACCAAAUGACCUCAGAAGAGCAGAAAGUAAUCAGCUCUUUCAACACAGUGUUUAGUGACGACUACAGAGCUGUGGAGGACGCCUUCUCCUCCAAAAAGAAAAGGACAAAAGGGAUGAAGAGCGCGUUUGAGAACACACACAAAGCCUUUGCCAAGGCGUUCUGGAGAAUGGACAGGCUUUUACGUCUCGGAAGGAGGGAAGUGUCCAGGGCCCGAUGGAGCGGCUGUUCCGCGGUCACUGGCGUUCUGGAAAGCAGUGUUGAGAGUCCCGAGGCCAGGAGGUCUCGGGGAAGAACCAGCGACGUUGGUGCUUCGGCAGAGGCGCACCUUUUCCCGGGGAUGCCCAAAACCUCCACCGGGGCGCUGCACAUUGCAAAUGCUGGUAACGUGCAAGCGGUGUUAUGCAGAAACGGGAAAGGCUUCUGCUUGACCAAAGAGCACACCACCCGGAACGUGGAGGAGAGAAGGCGGGUGCUCCGGCAGGGAGCGGUCAUCAGCGCCAACGUGCCGCACGGCCUCCUCCAGGGGCAGACGGCCACCACACGAGGACUCGGCUUCCAUGGGAAUCUCAAGCUGAAAAGAUUCGUCAUCCCAGCGCCUCAGACGAUUUCUGUGCCCAUAGAUGACUUGUGCCAGUUCCUUAUCCUGGGCACCAAUGGGCUCUGGGGAGUUCUGGACACGAAGGAGGUCACCGCGCUCGCCAUGUCGGCUUUCCAAGCACACAGAGAAACAUGGGGUCCCGCCGCGGGGAACCAACCGUCACCACCCAGAGGGCCUCUGCGUUGCCCCAUCAGUGAACAAACCACAGCGAGAUCCGGUAACAUCCACACAGCGUUCCAGCGCAGAUCUGGAGAACGGGCGCCAACUGGGGGUUCAAAAGAAAACCUGCCAGUUUCAGAACAUUCUAUCUGUGACCCCGAAAGUUCAGGACCAUCUCCACCAAAAAAGACCACUCGUGAUCCCUGCAGCGAGGAAGGGCCUGGCGGACUGACCAGCGUGGACAGACAGCCGAAAGCCUCGAGAGAGACACAGGGAGGACCCGGUAGUCAGAGCUUCUACGACGGCGCUGCCGCAUACGUCAGCCACGAGCUCGUCAACGCUGCUCUAGAGGCUGGCUCCAGGGACAACAUCACGGUCAUGGUGAUACUUCUCAACGGAACCGAGCGUCAGCUGCUGACAUAAAAGCGCUGGCUAUCCAGAGGAGAGAAACAUGGAAACAGCUCUUCAAUGAGCCAGGUACCAGAACAAGCAUCCAUUUUUAAGAAUGCAGUGAAGAGAAUAUAGCAGCAGAUUUCAGGUAACACAAUGCCAUUUAUAUAUGUUCAUGUGAAAAAAGAGGGGAACCAGUACUUGCUUUUUAAUACCACUUUAUUCCAACCUGAGCACCUCAAUAUGAAACUAAGCACUGGUGAACUGUUCUCCUUACUAAUUCGGAAUCACUGUAGAUGUACAUGUCUGCUAGCAGUUCAACACUUAAAUAGAUUAAAUCAUCUCUGACACAUGGUAGAUUUCAUAUAAUGAAAAUGCCUAAAACAGUUAGUGCAAUAUACUGAUCAAAAUAAAAUGAACUUUGGAAAACA